GAGCAAACAGGAUUAGAUACCCUGGUAGUCCACGCCCUAAACGAUGCACACUAGUUGUUGCCAUGCUAGUCAUGGCAGUAAUGCAGCUAACGCAUUAAGUGUACCGCCUGGGGAGUACGGUCGCAAGAUUAAAACUCAAAGGAAUAGACGGGGACCCGCACAAGCGGUGGAGCAUGUGGUUUAAUUCGAAGAUACGCGAAGAACCUUACCUGGGCUUGACAUCCCAAGAAUCUCUUAGAGAUAAGAGAGUGCCGGCUUGCCGGAACUUGGUGACAGGUGCUGCACGGCUGUCGUCAGCUCGUGUCGUGAGAUGUUGGGUUAAGUCCCGCAACGAGCACAACCCUCGUCCUUAGUUGCUAACAGUUCGGCUGAGCACUCUAAGGAGACUGCCUUCGUAAGGAGGAGGAAGGUGAGGACGACGUCAAGUCAUCAUGGCCCUUAUGCCCAGGGUGACACACGUGCUACAAUGGGGAGGACAAUGAGAGGCGAUACCGCGAGGUGGAGCAAAUCUAUAAACCUUCUCUCAGUUCGGAUUGCACUCUGCAACUCGAGUGCAUGAAGCUGGAAUCACUAGUAAUCGUAGAUCAGCCAUGCUACGGUGAAUACGUUCCCGGGUCUUGUACUCACCGCCCGUCACACCAUGGGAGUUGAGUUCACCCGAAGCCGGAAUGCCAGACUGGCUACCGUCCACGGUGGGCUCAGCGACUGGGGUGAAGUCGUAACAAGGUA
rnacentral:rRNA from 1 species